rnacentral:ncRNA from 1 species
UUAACAGGGGAGCUUUGAAGAGGCUGAGAGGGAACAACUUUAUGUUCCGACCCAUAACCUGAUUCGGAUAAUGCCGACGUAGGGAAACA